UACGGAGGGGGGCUAGCGUUAUUCGGAAUUAUUGGGCGUAAAGGGCGCGUAGGCGGCCCGGUAAGUCAAAGGUGAAAUCCCUCGGCUCAACUGAGGAACUGCCUUUGAAACUGCAAAUCUCGAGUCCGGAAGAGGUGAGUGGAAUUCCUAGUGUAGAGGUGAAAUUCGUAGAUAUUAGGAAGAACACCAGUGGCGAAGGCGGCUCACUGGUCCGGUACUGACGCUGAGGUGCGAAAGCGUGGGGAGCAAACAGG
rnacentral:rRNA from 1 species